rnacentral:rRNA from 1 species
ACUAAGACAUGCAAGUCUCAAGGCCAAAGCUAUGUGAGGUCUUGGCGAACGGCUCAGUAACGCGUGGGUAAUCUACCCUUAGGAAGAGCGAAACCCGGGAAACUGGGGGUAAUACUCUAUAGGUUACAGGUACUGGAAUGUCCUAUAACCCAAAGGGGCUUGCUACAUGCUUGUAAGUCCGCCUAAGGAUGGGCCUGCGUCGGAUUAGGUUGUUGGCGGGGUAACGGCCCACCAAGCCAUCUAUCCGUACGGGCUCUGGAAGGAGGAGCCCGGAGAAGGGUACUGAGAUAAGGACCCUAGCCCUAUGGGGUGCAGCAGUCGAGAAACCUUUACGAUGCACGAAAGUGUGAUAAGGUAAUUCCAAGUGCUAGUGAAACCCACUAGCUUUUGUUAAGUGUGAAAAGCUUAGCGAAUAAGUGGGGGGCAAGACACGUGCCAGCCGCCGCGGUAAUACGUGCCCCACAAGUGGUAUUCGCGUAUAUUGGGCCUAAAGCGUCUGUAGCCUGCCCGUUAAGUCUUUUGUGAAAUCUGCAAGCUCAACUUGUAGAAUGGCAAGAGAUACUAUCGGGCUUGGGACUGGGAGAAGUUGAGGGUAUUCCCGAGGUAGCGGUUAAAUGUUGUGAUCUUGGGAAGACCACCGGUAGCGAAGGCGCUCAACUAGAACAGCUCCGACGGUGAGAGACGAAAGCUAGGGGCGCGACCCGGAUUAGAUACCCGGUUAGUCCUAGCCGUAAACGAUGUGGACUAGGUGUGUUAGUUCCUACGAGGAACAGACGUGCCGAAGGGAAGCCAUUAAGUCCACCGCCUGGGAAGUACGAUCGCAAGGUCGAAACUUAAAGGAAUUGGCGGGGAGGCAUACAAGGGGUGGAUGCUGCGGUUCAAUCGGACACAACCCCUGACAUCUCACCAGGAAAGACAGCAGAAUGAUAGUCAACCUGAAGGGUUUACUUGACGCGCUGAGAGGUGUUGUAUGGUCAUCGUCAGCUCGUACUGUGAAGCGUCCAGUCAACUCUGGUAACGGGCGCGACCCGCGCCAUUAGUUGCUAGCAUUUUCUCCGGAAGAUGUGCACUCUAAUGGGACUGCUCUGGUAACAGAGAGGAAGGAGCGGGCAACGGUAGAUCAGUAUGGCCCGAAUUUCCUGGGCUACACGUGGCAUACAAUGGUUAGUACAAAGGGCUACAAACCCGAAAGGGUAAGUUAAUCUCCUAAAGCUAACCUCAGUUCGGAUUGAGGGUUGUAACUCACCCUCAUGAAGCUGGAAUCCCCAGUAAUCGCGUGUCACUAUCGCGCGGUGAAUACGUCCCUGCCUCUUGCACACACCGCCCAUCAAGCCAGCCGAGUGGGGUUUUGAUGAGGCGCAAUCCAUAGGGUUGUGUCAAUUCUGAAUUCUGCAAGGGGGGCUAAGUUGUAACAAGGUG